rnacentral:rRNA from 1 species
AUUGAACGCUGGCGGCAGGCCUAACACAUGCAAGUCGAGCGAGCGGCGGACGGGUGAGUAAUGUAUGGGGACUGCCCGAUAGAGGGGGAUAACUACUGGAAACGGUGGCUAAUACCGCAUACUAUCGGAUAACCCAUAUGGGAUUAGCUAGUAGGUGGGGUAAAGGGUCACCUAGGCGACGAUCUCUAGCUGGUCUGAGAGGUUGAGCAGCACCGCUUGGACUGAGACACGGCCCCGACGCCUACGGAGGCAGCAGUGUGGAAUAGUUCAGAAUGGGCGCAAGCCUGAUGCAGCCCUGCCGCUUGUAUGAAGAAGGCCUUAGGGUUGUAAAGUACUUUCAGCGGGGAGGCGUUACCCGCAGAAGAAGCACCGGCUAACUCCGUGCCAGCAGCCGCGGUAAUUC